rnacentral:rRNA from 1 species
CAACAAUUGAACGCGGGCUGGAUCUCUCGGGGUUACAGCCUUGCUGAAUUAUUCACCCUUGUCUUUUGCGUACUUCUUGUUUCCUUGGUGGGUUCGCCCACCACUAGGACAAACAUAAACCUUUUGUAAUUGCAAUCAGCGUCAGUAACAAAUUAAUAAUUACAACUUUCAACAACGGAUCUCUUGGUUCUGGCAUCGAUGAAGAACGCAGCGAAAUGCGAUAAGUAGUGUGAAUUGCAGAAUUCAGUGAAUCAUCGAAUCUUUGAACGCACAUUGCGCCCUUUGGUAUUCCAAAGGGCAUGCCUGUUCGAGCGUCAUUUGUACCCUCAAGCUUUGCUUGGUGUUGGGCGUCUUGUCUCUAGCUUUGCUGGAGACUCGCCUUAAAGUAAUUGGCAGCCGGCCUACUGGUUUCGGAGCGCAGCACAAGUCGCACUCUCUAUCAGCAAAGGUCUAGCAUCCAUUAAGCCUUUUUUCAACUUUUGACCUCGGAUCAGGUAGGGAUACCCGCUGAACUUAAGCAUAUCAAGAGGGGGGAGGGGAAAAAUAUUUU